rnacentral:rRNA from 1 species
UACGUAGGUGGCAAGCGUUGUCCGGAUUUACUGGGCGUAAAGGGCGUGCAGGCGGUCUGUUAAGUCUAGGGUGAAAGCUCCCGGCUCAACUGGGAGAGGUCCUUGGAUACUGGCGGACUUGAGGGAGGCAGAGGAGAGUGGAAUUCCUGGUGUAGCGGUGGAAUGCGCAGAUAUCAGGAAGAACACCCGUGGCGAAGGCGGCUCUCUGGAACGCAACUGACGCUGAGACGCGAAAGCGUGGGGAGCAAACAGG